rnacentral:rRNA from 1 species
UGACUGCGUACCUUUUGUAUAAUGGGUCAGCGACUUAUAUUCUGUAGCAAGGUUAACCGAAUAGGGGAGCCGGAGGGAAACCGAGUCUUAAUUGGGCGUUAAGUUGCAGGGUAUAGACCCGAAACCCGGUGAUCUAGCCAUGGGCAGGUUGAAGGUUGGGUAACACUAACUGGAGGACCGAACCGACUAAUGUUGAAAAAUUAGCGGAUGACCUGUGGCUGGGGGUGAAAGGCCAAUCAAACCGGGAGAUAGCUGGUUCUCCCCGAAAGCUAUUUAGGUAGCGCCUCGUGAAUUCAUCUCCGGGGGUAGAGCACUGUUUCGGCUAGGGGGCCAUCCCGGCUUACCAACCCGAUGCAAACUGCGAAUACCGGAGAAUGUUAUCACGGGAGACACACGGCGGGUGCUAACGUCCGUCGUGAAGAGGGAAACAACCCAGACCGCCAGCUAAGGUCCCAAAGUCAUGGUUAAGUGGGAAACGAUGUGGGAAGGCCCAGACAGCCAGGAUGUUGGCUUAGAAGCAGCCAUCAUUUAAAGAAAGCGUAAUAGCUCACUGGUCGAGUCGGCCUGCGCGGAAGAUGUAACGGGGCUAAACCAUGCACCGAAGCUGCGGCAGCGACGCUUAUGCGUUGUUGGGUAGGGGAGCGUUCUGUAAGCCUGCGAAGGUGGCCUGUGAGGGUUGCUGGAGGUAUCAGAAGUGCGAAUGCUGACAUAAGUAACGAUAAAGCGGGUGAAAAGCCCGCUCGCCGGAAGACCAAGGGUUCCUGUCCAACGUUAAUCGGGGCAGGGUGAGUCGACCCCUAAGGCGAGGCCGAAAGGCGUAGUCGAUGGGAAACGGGUUAAUAUUCCCGUACUUGGUGUUACUGCGAAGGGGGGACGGAGAAGGCUAUGUUGGCCGGGCGACGGUUGUCCCGGUUUAAGCGUGUAGGUGUGUGUUCCAGGUAAAUCCGGUUCACUUUAACACUGAGGCGUGACGACGAGGCACUACGGUGCUGAAGCAACAAAUGCCCUGCUUCCAGGAAAAGCCUCUAAGCAUCAGGUAACAUCAAAUCGUACCCCAAACCGACACAGGUGGUCAGGUAGAGAAUACCAAGGCGCUUGAGAGAACUCGGGUGAAGGAACUAGGCAAAAUGGUGCCGUAACUUCGGGAGAAGGCACGCUGACACGUAGGUGAAGUGAUUUACUCAUGGAGCUGAAGUCAGUCGAAGAUACCAGCUGGCUGCAACUGUUUAUUAAAAACACAGCACUGUGCAAACACGAAAGUGGACGUAUACGGUGUGACGCCUGCCCGGUGCCGGAAGGUUAAUUGAUGGGGUCAGCGCAAGCGAAGCUCCUGAUCGAAGCCCCGGUAAACGGCGGCCGUAACUAUAACGGUCCUAAGGUAGCGAAAUUCCUUGUCGGGUAAGUUCCGACCUGCACGAAUGGCGUAAUGAUGGCCAGGCUGUCUCCACCCGAGACUCAGUGAAAUUGAACUCGCUGUGAAGAUGCAGUGUACCCGCGGCAAGACGGAAAGACCCCGUGAACCUUUACUAUAGCUUGACACUGAACAUUGAGCCUUGAUGUGUAGGAUAGGUGGGAGGCUUUGAAGUGUGGACGCCAGUCUGCAUGGAGCCGACCUUGAAAUACCACCCUUUAAUGUUUGAUGUUCUAACGUGGACCCGUUACCCGGGUUGCGGACAGUGUCUGGUGGGUAGUUUGACUGGGGCGGUCUCCUCCUAAAGAGUAACGGAGGAGCACGAAGGUUGGCUAAUCCUGGUCGGACAUCAGGAGGUUAGUGCAAUGGCAUAAGCCAGCUUGACUGCGAGCGUGACGGCGCGAGCAGGUGCGAAAGCAGGUCAUAGUGAUCCGGUGGUUCUGAAUGGAAGGGCCAUCGCUCAACGGAUAAAAGGUACUCCGGGGAUAACAGGCUGAUACCGCCCAAGAGUUCAUAUCGACGGCGGUGUUUGGCACCUCGAUGUCGGCUCAUCACAUCCUGGGGCUGAAGUAGGUCCCAAGGGUAUGGCUGUUCGCCAUUUAAAGUGGUACGCGAGCUGGGUUUAGAACGUCGUGAGACAGUUCGGUCCCUAUCUGCCGUGGGCGCUGGAGAACUGAGGGGGGCUGCUCCUAGUACGAGAGGACCGGAGUGGACGCAUCACUGGUGUUCGGGUUGUCAUGCCAAUGGCACUGCCCGGUAGCUAAAUGCGGAAGAGAUAAGUGCUGAAAGCAUCUAAGCACGAAACUUGCCCCGAGAUGAGUUCU